GUACGGGGGGGGCAAGCGUUGUUCGGAAUUACUGGGCGUAAAGGGCGCGUAGGCGGCCUUCUAAGUCGGACGUGAAAUCCCUCGGCUUAACCGAGGAACUGCGUCCGAUACUGAAAGGCUUGAAUCCGGGAGAGGGAUGUGGAAUUCCAGGUGUAGCGGUGAAAUGCGUAGAUAUCUGGAGGAACACCGGUGGCGAAGGCGGCAUCCUGGACCGGCAUUGACGCUGAGGCGCGAAAGCUAGGGGAGCAAACAGG
rnacentral:rRNA from 1 species